GACGUAGGGCGCGAGCGUUGUCCGGAUUUAUUGGGCGUAAAGAGCUCGUAGGCGGUUUGUCGCGUCGACUGUGAAAACCCGAGGCUUAACCUCGGGCCUGCAGUCGAUACGGGCAGACUAGAGUUCGGUAGGGGAGACUGGAAUUCCUGGUGUAGCGGUGAAAUGCGCAGAUAUCAGGAGGAACACCGGUGGCGAAGGCGGGUCUCUGGGCCGAUACUGACGCUGAGGAGCGAAAGCGUGGGGAGCGAACAGG
rnacentral:rRNA from 1 species